rnacentral:rRNA from 1 species
AUGGCGACGGCGGAGAACAAGAGGCCUCGGAGCAGCGGCGGCGUGGAGAGGCCGCCGAGUAGGAAGGAGAUAUUGGGGAGGAAGAAGGCCAUCAAAGAACUUAUAAGGAAAGCUGUAGCUGUGAAGGAUCAUCUUGCGCAGUUCCCGGAUUUUCAUAAAUACGAGCGAAGUGGUUUUUCGAUCUACUUGGAGUCUGGGCAUGGCAAUCAGCUUUCAGUGCCAACGAGGAAGUACAUCCAAAAUCUUCUCAAGGCUAACAUGAAGGGAACUUAUGGAUCAGAAUGGCCUUCAGAAGAGAAAAUUAAGCGCCGGGAAAUGGUUGCCCCAGAAGCACGAUAUAUCCUGAUCUGCCAAUAUGCAGACAGUGAUAUUGCCAAAUGUUUCAUGAAGCAAGAUUCAGGGGUGGAAUGUGCACAUGUGACAUGCCGUGGAGGCCGCUUGCUUGGUUUUGUACACUACAGAUUUGUUGUUGAAUUGGAUGUGCCUGUUCUUUAUGUGUAUGAGCUACAAUUGGAGUCUUCUGUCCAAGGGAAGGGGCUGGGGAAGUUCCUAAUGCAGUUGAUUGAACUUAUAGCUUGCAAGAGCCAAAUGGAGGCCGUGAUGCUAACAGUUCAAAAAUCUAAUACAGGUGCUAUGGCUUUCUACAACAAUUUGGGAUAUGUAAUAUCCAGUGCCUCGCCAUCACGAGUGGAUCCACUGAUUGGAAUUCAUAGAAGCUAUGAGAUCUUGUGCAAGACAUUUGAAUCUGAAGCCAAGUGCAAAUUGGAGGAAGGCAACUAA